rnacentral:rRNA from 1 species
CGCCUCUUGCUUCACAUAAGAGGUCCAGCCUGCCCAGUGAAAUUUUAACGGCCGCGGUACCCUGACCGUGCGAAGGUAGCAUAAUCACUCGUUCUCUAAAUAAGGACUUGUAUCAAUGGCAUCACGAGAGUCACACUGUCUCCUCUCUCCAAUCAGUGAACCUAAUCUCCCCGUGAAGAAGCGGGGUUACACCCAUAAGACGAGAAGACCCCAUGGAGCUUUAAACCUUAAAGCAAUUUAAAUAAAAUAUUUCCACAUAUACUUUAUUUAUGCAUGAAAGUUUUGGGUUGGGGUGACCGCGGAGCAAAAACUAACCUCCACAACGAAAAGAACUAAAUCUUUAUCUAAGAACUACUAUUCCAAGAAUCAACACACUGACGAAUACUGAUCCGAUAAUCGAUCAAUGAACCAAGUUACCCUGGGGAUAACAGCGCAAUCUACUUCGAGAGCUCAUAUCGACAAGUAGGCUUACGACCUCGAUGUUGGAUCAGGGUAUCCCAGUGGUGCAGCCGCUACUAAUGGUUCGUUUGUUCAACGAUUAAAACCCU